rnacentral:piRNA from 1 species
UGCUGAAGGACUAAAUGGCUGUGUGGA